rnacentral:rRNA from 1 species
GACGAACGCUGGCGGCGUGCUUAACACAUGCAAGUCGAACGGAUCACCUUUGCUUCGGUUUUGGUGGUUAGUGGCGAACGGGUGAGUAACACGUGAGCAACCUGCCCUUCACUGGGGGAUAACUGUGGGAAACUUCAGCUGAUACCGCAUGUACACCUUCUAUCGCAUGGUGGUUGGUGGAAAGUUUUUUCGGUGGGGGAUGGGCUCGCGGCCUAUCAGCUUGUUGGUGGGGUAAUAGCCUACCAAGGCUUUGACGGGUAGCCGGCCUGAGAGGGCGACCGGCCACACUGGGACUGAGAUACGGCCCAGACUCCUACGGGAGGCAGCAGUGGGGAAUAUUGCACAAUGGACGGAAGUCUGAUGCAGCAACGCCGCGUGCGGGAUGACGGCCUUCGGGUUGUAAACCGCUUUCACCAGGGGCGAAUUUGACGGUACCUGGAGAAGAAGCACCGGCUAACUACGUGCCAGCAGCCGCGGUAACAC